ACGAAUGCAGCUAAAUCAGCUCUGUUUCAGGCUCAGGAGGAUUGUUGGUUUGCGAUGCCGGGCUUCACAAAAGCCGAUAGGUUUUGAUUCCCGGAUAGUGGCCGACUCCUCUGCAUUCCUGAGCGUGAGCUAGCCAACAACGGUUGCACGUGGCUGAUAAGGGCAUUUGGGUAGGUAGUUCCCCUUCCCGGGGAAAACAUAUAGCCAUCUGUCUGGAAGUCUGCGGGUGACUGAGGAGAACUGACAGUGUAGGCCCUCUGGGUUUGGGCUGCUUCUGGUUGUUUGGGCACCGCGCUUGGGACUGCUUGCAGUGUCAUGUGACGGCUGUCUUCUCGAACUGGAGACCAGUCACACCUUACACUGUAGUUGUUGGUGUUCAAAUGGCUGCAUCCGA
rnacentral:rRNA from 1 species